UUGACAUUUUUAUCUGACAUAUAGUUUGAAGGAAAAGUCCGCACAAGUGGCAAAUGGUUUCUCUUCUUCGGAAAGGCUGGGAACAGUAUGAUUUAUUUUCCUUCAUUCCCACUGAAGCUUACAGGCGUUUUUCUCAUACUGAUGCUGUUAGGGAUAUGAUAGACAUGAAAUCUACAAAGUUGGUAGCAUAUCAUGAAUUGGUUUGUUUUCUACACUGUGUUCCUUCCAGGUGUCAUAGAAACAGAAAGUAAAAUGCCACUAAGAAGCUGUAUUCUGACCCAGUGCAUCCUUUCUCAUUGAAAGUAUACAGUUAUCUCAGCCUGGGUUUCUUAAAAAUUAGGUUCGUGGUCCAUACAAAGGAGGAGAACAUCCAUCUGCAAUGUAUAUAGUAACCCAUUUUUUUUUGUGGAAGGAGGUAAAUAUACAAUAAAUUGACAUUUGCAUUGGAUGGCUGUUGUUUUAAUGUUCCCCUCCUUUACUCCUAAAUUUGUUUCUGAGAACAAGCGCAUGUGGCUACUGUGGCAUUCACCUGUGCUGCAGUGCACUCUGAAAUUCAGCACUCUAAAUAAAAAGACAAACGUCUGAAGCCUACACUGCCACGUCUGUGCCAGGUGAAGAUAAAUGUGGCUCAGCUUCCUCCCUGCUCUGACCAGCCUGCUUUUAAAAGACAUAUUUAUAAUUCCCAUCACCUGAAAAAGUCCAGAUUUGCUUUUUAAUUGAGAAAGCCCACGUGCUCAUAUAAAUGCUUAAAAAUCUUUUAAAAUCACGUGAUUUAAUGUAGUCAAGGUAACCCAUGCAAAAGAAGAGCCGCUUGGCAGACUACAUUUCCCAGGAUCCCACCUAGGUGGAAGCAGAGGGCACAACCUGCUCCCAGGUAUAAAUGCUCACAUGUGAGUGCCCGAGGGCACAGUUGGAGCCUGUUUGGGGUAGCUGGUUGCUGGUUUUGGCGCAGAGACAGUUGCGCGGCUCCAGUGCGCCUGUGUGAAGAUCCAGCCACACACUGAUGAUCUGAGUGACCAGCGUAAACCGUUCCACUCCUUUAAUUUCCUUCCACUGAGAUGAAGCUUGAAGUGUUCUCCAAAAGAAUUGUGCUUGAAUCCCCCAGCUCAUAUGACUGGAUAACUGAAACAAUUUGAAGUCUGUUUUUACUAGAACCUGAUCACCACCUGACUGAGUGAAGAAACUGAGGACUGUUUGAAACUUCCUUGGACAUUAAUAGGUUGACUGCUAUGUUGCUGAACUUAGUGCAUGAAAGGUCAGCCUUUGAAAAGCUAAAUAAGGAGGCUCUGUUACCCUCCCAGUGGAAGCACAGCUGACCCUGCUGCUCAUGACCCUUGAGACCCAUGUUGGUGCAUGUCCACCAUGGGCAGGAAGGCCAGUCCAAUAACAGCACCAGGCCUUACAGAAAGACAUGGUUUGCAUUCAUCUCUGUAGCCA